ensembl:lncRNA
UUAUGGGCCAUUUUCUGUAGAUGCAUGACACACACACACACACACAGACACACACACACACACACACACACACACACACACACACACACACACACACACACAUAAUUAGGUCUAUUUCAGGUAUAGUUUGUAACCCUAUAUAAGGGGUACCUAUAUAAUGCACCGUAUAAAACAUCUCAUUCUGGGUUAUUUCUCUAUAACAUACAUCGUAAUAAUGUUAAUGCUUUUAUGUGAGGUCAGUAAUAUUUCACUGUUCUGUUGUGUAGGUGUUGUUCAUUCUUCUGUUGUGUAGAUGUUCACCCUCCUGUUGUGUAGAAGCUGUUCACUGUUCUGUAGAUGGUGUUCAGUUGUGUAGAUGUUGUUCACUCUCCUGUUGUGUAGAUGUUCACGGCAGGCUUCCUCCUUAUUUGGCUAUGUGAUUGUUAUUAAACCUGAUUGCGUCAUUAACUGCUGGAUGAUGAUCCGCUAAUGAUCUGCCGUCUCGUAUUUUAUUCCUCUUCAUCCCAUCUGAUCGGGAGCUGUAGCAGCAUUGCUCUUUCCGUUUUCUCUCGUCUUUUGCCUCAUCAUUUCCUCUAAUUGCAUCACUCUCUUCUUCCUGCAGACUCAAAAUGCUGUUAGCUCACCUCUCGCUCCCAUGCUGCUAUUUAUACACCACCGUCUCACUGUUAGCCAAGAGACCCGUGACCCAUACAUCCUCUCAUGUACACACCUUCUACACACCUUUAUACACAUUUACACACCUGCACACUUUACACACCGUCCACGCACCUUUACACACCGUCCACACACCGUCCACGCACCUUUACACACCAUCCACACACCUUUACACACCGUCCACACACCUU